rnacentral:rRNA from 1 species
UACAGAGGGGGCAAGCGUUAUUCGGAAUUAUUGGGCGUAAAGGGCGCGUAGGCGGCUUGGCAAGUGGAAGGUGAAAUCCCUCGGCUCAACCGAGGAACUGCCUUCUAAACUGCUUUGAUUGAGUCCGGGAGAGGUCAGUGGAAUUCCCAGUGUAGCGGUGAAAUGCGUAGAUAUUGGGAGGAACACCAGUGGCGAAGGCGGCUGACUGGACCGGUACUGACGCUGAGGCGCGAAAGCGUGGGGAGCAAACGGG